UGGGGAAUAUUGCACAAUGGGCGAAAGCCUGAUGCAGCAACGCCGCGUGAGGGACGACGGCCUUCGGGUUGUAAACCUCUUUUAGCAAGGAAGAAGCGAAAGUGACGGUACUUGCGGAAAAAGCGCCGGCUAACUACGUGCCAGCAGCCGCGGUAAUACGUAGGGCGCAAGCGUUAUCCGGAAUUAUUGGGCGUAAAGAGCUCGUAGGCGGUUUGUCGCGUCUGCUGUGAAAACCCGAGGCUCAACCUCGGGCCUGCAGUGGGUACGGGCAGACUAGAGUGCGGUAGGGGGAGAUUGGAACUCCUGGUGUAGCGGUGGAAUGCGCAGAUAUCAGGAAGAACACCGAUGGCGAAGGCAGAUCUCUGGGCCGUAACUGACGCUGAGGAGCGAAAGGGUGGGGAGCAAACAGGCUUAGAUACCCUGGUAGUCCACCCCGUAAACGUUGGGAACUAGUUGUGGGGUCCAUUCCACGGAUUCCGUGACGCAGCUAACGCAUUAAGUUCCCCGCCU
rnacentral:rRNA from 1 species